AAUAAGUGUAGUUUUGCACUGUUCAUGUCAAAUGUUCGAUUGUUCGUCCUAUUUAAAAUUUUUUUAUGAUUAGUAUUUUUAUUGUUAUUAUAUGAUAAAACAUGAAUAUUACUUUAUGUGUCUAACUUUUUUAUUUUUUUCAUUAAUUUCUCAAAUAAGACGGACGGUCAACGGAGGGACGGAGGU
rnacentral:pre_miRNA from 1 species